CGGACAAAUUCUAAACUUGAUCUAAACUUCUUCUUUGUGUUUGGUUCAGUAUGAGGUGGUGAGUGGGCGUUUAUGUGUCGUUGUUCUUUGUGUUUUUUAUGAAUAAUUGAGCUAAAAUUCAAUGGCUGGAAUACCCCUAAUGGCUUCAAGUGCUGUAUGUAACCAUAGCUGAAUGUUACAGUUUUGUGAUGCUCCCAUUUAUUAACUGCAAAGUGCCCCCCUUUCCUUAUGGUGCCAACUUUCAACAUUUCAGCAUCCUUUCGUGCAUAUCCAGUUAGCUAGCCAUCAGUCAUUAACAUCACCCCAUUUUUAAGAUUGAUAGGCAAGUGUUCAUCUGCUUAUUGCUGUAAUAAUGCUGUUCCCUGCAGUUUAUCCAAUCUUUGCUGUAUGCAGGCUUGACAUUAUUUGAAAUUUCUCAUCCUGCCACGUUAUCGUUCCGUUGCCGCCUUCUCUUCAUCCUGUUUUGCUUCCCGUCUACGGUUCGUCGUCGCUUCGCCAGGCCGCCGCCCCGUUUUCACUUCGCCUUCGGCACGUCAUCGCUUUUUCGCCUUUCCUUCGCCUCGUGUUCGCUGCUCGUCUUGCUGCCUGGUUCGUUAUAUGCCAUUUCGUUAUGUUUGUUAUGUAUAAUACUAGUUAACCCGUUGGCUGCCAUCCCGUUU